GCAACAACAACAACAUUCACUUUCACAAUCAUCUUUAUGGUAUUAAUUGACAAUGAGUGAAGAGACCCAUAUAUUACUUAAGAUUCUACUCAACUUUUCCAAUGUGAAACAAUAUCCCUAAUAAAAACAAAAACAAAACUUGAUAGUAAAUUCAC
rnacentral:sRNA from 1 species